UACGGGGGGGAGCAAGCGUUGUUCGGAUUUACUGGGCGUAAAGGGCGCGUAGGCGGCGCAACAAGUCACUUGUGAAAUCUCCGGGCUUAACCCGGAGCGGUCAAGUGAUACUGUCGUGCUAGAGUGCGGAAGGGGCUACUGGAAUUCUCGGUGUAGCGGUGAAAUGCGUAGAUAUCGAGAGGAACACCUGCGGCGAAGGCGGGUAGCUGGGCCGACACUGACGCUGAUGCGCGAAAGCCAGGGGGAGCGAACGGG
rnacentral:rRNA from 1 species